rnacentral:misc_RNA from 1 species
UUUGAGUGGUUCUUGUGGAUUUUGAGUUGCUUCAUUUGAGUUGAUGAGAGUUGCCCACCUCUUGACAUUGUCUCCUAAACAUAUGUUGUCCAUUUGUACUAGUGACUAUUCUUUCUUGCUUUAUGUGGAGACACUACAAGGUUGUUAAUUAUGAUGAUAAUAUCAUUCCAUUUAAUAAAAUUAAAGGUGUUACUAGGUCUUCUAAAAUCUCUUCUUGUCAAAAAAGGC